UACGUAGGGGGCAAGCGUUGUCCGGAAUCAUUGGGCGUAAAGAGCGUGUAGGCGGCUUGGUAAGUCCGCUGUGAAAGUCCAGGGCUCAACCCUGGAAAGCCGGUGGAAACUGUCAAGCUCGAGUCCGGAAGAGGCGAGUGGAAUUCCUGGUGUAGCGGUGAAAUGCGCAGAUAUCAGGAGGAACACCAAUGGCGAAGGCAGCUCGCUGGGACGGUACUGACGCUGAGACGCGAAAGCGUGGGGAGCGAACAGG
rnacentral:rRNA from 1 species